GUCCAAAUGUUGCUCACUAACUUGAGCGAAACCACAGCCAAGGGAACGGGCUUGGAAUGAUCAGCGGGGAAAGAAAACCCUGUUGAGCUUGACUCUCACCUAAGAGGUGUAGAACAAGUGGGAGCUUCGGCGUCGGUGUGCAAUGCCACUACUCUUGGAGUGAGUUUACUCAUUGCAUUGU
rnacentral:rRNA from 1 species